GAAGGCACCACAGUGUUUGCAUUUGCCAGAGCUGGAGACACUCGAGGAUCUAGUUAUGCCCCUGCUGGUGCAUUAAAGGAGUGACUUCAGGCCAUGGAUGGGUGCACUUUGGUCUGCGGAUCUGAUCUCCAGCUGUGCUUGCACACUGGACAUGUCUUGCUUACAGCUGUUCGGAGAGGUGUUCAAGACUGCAGCAACCAGCACGAGGAUGAGCAGGUCUGAGGCACGGAUCUGUGUGCGUGACUGCUGAGCCCAAGGUGAACUGUGAUGCUUCUUGGUACAGAGGAAGAAGGGCACCAGGAAAGACUAGAAGACACCACUUCCCUCUGUAGAGGAACCAGCUCUUCAUUACGAAACCAUGGAGGACGCGACACAGGCUGCUCGGGGUGGUGUCACCAUCUAGAUCCCCCCUCUGCAGCCACCUGCCACCUUGGGCCACGUCCUAGUGCACUGCAGCAAUGAUCACGCUCCCCUGCUAAUCUUCAGUGUCAGCCAGCCUUGAUCUAGACAGAGUCCGUGCCACUCAACUUGGCCUGUUGGAUCCUGGUUGCCAAACAUGAGCGGCCCACGCAAUGCAGACAGAGAGGCACUGUCGAACCUCCCGCCACAUCUGGAGGUGAGGAGGCAGUGCCGUAGCCGUCCCCGCCGAGGAAGCCUGCGCCGUGUAAGGUGCAAAGGCAGCUCUCUGCCGAG